AUCCCACCCUCCCCACAGCCGGCACCACAGCGUCCUAUUCCCCGCCCGCGUCCAAACCCUAGCCUGUACCCCUGCCUCUGGGGGAUUCCAAUUCUUGGCCAUUGGGAGGAGGUAGCCAACGGAUGGGAAGGUCGGGCGGAGGAGAAGGAUGAGGGGAUGUGGCUGCGAGCAUGCCACCGGCCGUGCCGAUUGGGUGGGAAGCGAAGCCGACAGCGGUGGCGGUUUCGAUCUGUCAUCUGCUACCAGCGCCGCCACAGGGACGGAUGACGGCAUAUGAGGGGCGGCGGGGGGGCGGGCUCAUGAUGGGCUACGGGACUGCAUGGCGUCCGGUCAUGGGUUCCGGCGGCGCCAAGCCAUACAUCUGAGCCACCGUCUCCACUUUGUUUCCUCCAUGGUUUGAUCUGUAGCUUUACCCUACUACCUCCCUCCAUCUCUCAUGUAAGCUAGAGCUCGAGGCGGUGAAAUCCCUCUCAAGUGGCAGAGGUUGACAACCUUGACAUCUUUAGAGAUUCUAUGUGUGCAGUUUUAGUUGUGCACACCAAUCGUUUGAUGAAUUACUAAAAGAAAUUGUACAUCUUUUUGUUGUAUGUUUGAAGCAGGUAAAAUGUAAUUUAGCAGUGUUUCGAAAAUCAUUCAUGAAAGCUUUUGAAAAUGUGGUGAAGCAGUCCACUUGACAAAAUGUGGUGACUGAGGUGAUUUUGAUUGCACUGGAUGUUAAUUUUGCUUAGGUUGUGUUGCUGCUCCUCUUUGUGUCUGUUUAGUCUUCCUCAUUGCUUUGUUAGUGCUCAGCUUUAUAGUAAGUACAUUGUGGUAUGGUGAGUCCCUCUCAAUACUGGAUGCCUUACUUCGCUUAUUUAGACUAUUGAUUUCUUUCUGAAUAAUAGGUCUUUGUUCCAGUUCAUAAAGGAAACCAUGUAACAGUAGCAACUAAUAUGCUUUUCAGUUUUAUUAUAAAUAAAUUGCAAAAUAAAUGUCAUAACAUAAGUAUUGAGUCUAUGAUUCUAUAUAUGUAUCAAACCUUGAUGAACUGGUUUGGUUUGAUACUAUUUUAAAUUUAGUUUCAGAUACUGCUGAAUUUCUAAUUUUCUGUUACAAAUGAUUAUGAUAUAUGUUGCAACAACUAUAUGUUCAGACUUCAAAUAUGUUAGCAAGACACUUUAGAGCCUAGCUACAUUUAGUCAGUAUUUAUUUCACUUCAGUGCACCAUGAGGUGGUUAGCAGGGGGCCUAAGGUCGAUGGCGCUGGGGAGUUAUAUCUUGUUUUUUGUAAUGCAGUUAUUUGCAUCUAUGUUAUAAAAUUACAGUUCUUUACUGUAGAGAAAUCUGACAAUGUUGUAGUUUCGUUGGUUCAGUCUGCAGAUUUUUUCUAUCUGAUAACCAAGAGGGGAUCGAGGCAUGUAAUGAGGUGGUUGCUUUAGCAAUGGAAGACAUGAUAGAAUGGAUGCACGGAGGAGGUCAGCUUGGUAUAUUUGAUGCAACAAACAGCACAAGGAAAAGAAGAUAUAUGCUAAUGAAGAUGGCUGAAGGGAACUGCAAGGCCGGAUGUGGAGGUUCUACGAGAACUACGCGCCGAGCCUUGCCGACGUGGUAGAGACGGUGGACACGAUGGCCGGGAUGUUCUCGCUGGUGGCCGUGGGGCGGGGAGGGCAGCAGCCCAAGGAGUUGUUGGUCGGGCUGGACGAGUGGGCGGAGGCCAGGCGGGAGUUGGGCAUCAUGGCGGAGAUCCUGGCGUCCAAUACGUCCAUGGAGAUGGGCUCCGUGCUCAUCAAGCAGCAGCAUAGGGUGCUUGUGCAGGAGCAUUGAUCUCUUGGUGCGGCGGCGCGAGGCCGCGGGAGGCCAGCCGAGUUUACCGACACGAACUCCCUGUCCUUGGACGAGGAGGUCGACAAGGACGCCAUGGUGGAACUUGGCGAGGAAGAAUAAGAAGAACCGGCACAAGGAGAUGAGGAAGAAGUGGCAGAAGGAGGGCGUCGUCGCCAACAAGGAGGAGAUAAAUGUUGCAGGCCUACACUUUUCUCAUCAUUAUGCAGUAUCAUGUAUUUAUUUUAGGAAAGGAGGCUUUAGUUGCUAUGUCAUGUAGAAUCACUUUGAAUUGGAAGCUACGUGGUUCAACUGCAUCAAGUGUGAGCUCACUGGAAUUUUUUUCGACAUGUGGAUCUAGAGUAGCAUGUCUGUUGCUUUUGCUCUUUUCUAAUGCUUCUAUAUUGCUAUGAUCAUUUGGUUAACUAUGCUUUACCAGGAGUCGGUGGUCGAUACUAGCCAAUUUCCUUUUUUGGACAGUAUAAAUGGCAGUAUAACUCCGUCUAUGUCUUCUAGGCAUAGCUGAUCCCAAGCCCGGGUAAAGGAGGACGGUUAUGAUAGGCUUGGCGAGCCAACGUAAAAACUAGCCAGUCAAAUAGGUAUGAAAUCCAUUUGAGCGAGAGUAGUACUAGGAUGGAUGACCUCCUGGAAAGUCCUUGUGAAAGGGUUUCAUAUCUAAGGGUUGUGAUAGGCUUGGCGAGCCAACGUAAAAACUAGCCAGUCCUUUGGGUAUGAAAUCCAUUUGGGCCAGAGUAGUACUAGGAUGGGUGACCUCCUGGGAAGUCCUCGUGAAAGGGUUUCAUAUCUAGCCUACCCCAAUUUUUUUGGGAUAAAAGGCUUCGUAAGUAAGUAAAUAGUAUAAAUGGCAGUAUGUUGUUUCCUAUCAGAACGUACAUACCUUUUGAUUUUGUGAAAAUCAAAGUGAUGCAAUGUUUUUGUUUUCAUCUGUUAAAAGUUAGUGAAACAUGUGUGUGCACACUGAAACAUUCAUGAACUGAAUAGCAGAUUGAAAAUCUUGGCAUGUUUAGUACGACUGAUUUUAUCUUAGUGCAUCGACAUCUGUGUUUGAUCUUCUUGCAGCUGCAGAUGAUGAAUGUAUUUGUCCCUUUUAGCUUCAGGUUGCUGGCACCUAGGAGAGACGGGACAGCAAAAUCGGUGCUCAUCCAGGAUGGCGUUGAUGUCCCUUAACCGAAACACAGUUCUAAGGAAGAUUCUUGCAAGUGCCAGACACUUCUCCGUACACGAUAGACAAACGCACAGAGUGAGCUUUUCUCGGCGGUUCUGGUGACUGGCGCACAAGGUCUCCAUUCCAGUGUGUUACCGAUGAGCAAGAUGUGGAGACCGAUCAUGAGCCUCUCCUUUCACAUUGGAUUGUGUUUCAACUAAAAAGCUUAGGUAUUCUUAUUCCAUCAUUUUAGGAUCCAAACCUGGGAUGUGAUUAAGUACCUGGCAUUUUAUUUUAUUUUAUUGUAUGAUACGGCUUUCUAAUACUAAUAAUCCUUUUUUGUUGAGUAAAUGUUUACAUGUUACAUAUUCAAGGUUUCAUGUGCUUGUGCUCUUCGAUUCCAUAGGUUUGAUCCAGGCCUGUUGGUUGCAACUAUUUUCAUUUAAAAAGGCUUAUGUGUGCGUAAGUUUGUUACUGAUUCUGAGAGAUGUAGCUAAAUAUAGAAAUGACAUGUGUCUUUGCAUUAGGCAAAUGGAGUUGUUCAAUUCAUACCUUUUAUUCUUCUCAGUAUUGCUUUUCUAUCAUCAGAAUAAACAUGUUUGAGAUAUUAAACAAGGGAACAUACAUGCCCUUUUGUGAUGUUAACAAUUUUACACCAGGUAUGGUGACAUUGCUAACCAUGCUUUGGUAGUUGUGAAAAGUAAGAAGCUGGAAUGCAAAUCAAGCAUCUGACUCUGACACGCAUAACACAUCUGUUUCAGCAGAUAGGGCUGAGGAAUCGGGUGGUGUAUUCACAUUGAAAGUUAUCGGUAGAUGGUUAGAUUUUUUACAUGCUCCAUGUGCUAACACUUAGUUGUUAGAGCUGCGAUUGGUGUUACUGAACAAUUUUGUUUAACAAAAUUGCCAUAUCAUUGCAGGGUUUACCUCUGUGCUUCACUUUUCACGCUUCAAAAGCCUUUUCCGAGCAAGACAGGCUUAGAUCUAGCUCCUGGAAGGAAAGAAUGUGCCAGAGUAGAUUGCAGAACACUUGCAGUUUUUUAGAUGCAUUGGUAAAAAGCCAAUGAAAGACAUUUAACUUCAAUUUUACCUUUGAUAAUUUUCAGGAUUGGUGUGUGCUGCAAUAGUUUGUAAUAACAUCAUUUCUAUGAGCAACCCAUCCAUCCCUUUUUCUCACAUGUGGGCCUUGUUCCUAACCUCACGGUUCUAAUCUCUUUAGUGAUUUGACA